GAAACGUUAGAUCAAACCUUAACAGUUCUGGAACGUGAACUAACAUACGCAAUUACCAUGGAUCUAACAGAAGACGAGAGAGCAGAUGCCAGAAGAUACUUUUACUCGAAAUUACCUGUUCCUGGUGUAGUAAUGUGCAUCGAUGGAACCCAUAUAAGAAUCGUUGCGCCUCACGACAACUCAAUCUAUUAUUUCAAUAGAAAGGGAUUUUAUAGUCUUAACGCUUUGAUGAUAUGUGACCACAGGCAAAUAAUCCGUUUUGUAGACGCGAGGUUUGGCGGCUCAGAUCACGAUUCUUACAUUUAUAAUUCCAGUCCGAUUUCUUCAUAUUUUCAAGAAAAAUGGAGAAAUGGAGACCGAAUGUUUAAACUCUUGGGAGACUCAGCUUAUCCUUCGAAACCUUGGCUUAUCAAGCCGCGCAGAAAUGCAGAGCCAAAUAGUCCAGAUUCGUUGUUCAAUGAA